UAGGGAAUCUUCCGCAAUGGACGCAAGUCUGACGGAGCAACGCCGCGUGAGUGAAGAAGGAUUUCGGUUCGUAAAACUCUGUUGUUAGAGAAGAACAGCGCAUAGAGUAACUGUUAUGCGUGUGACGGUAUCUAACCAGAAAGCCACGGCUAACUACGUGCCAGCAGCCGCGGUAAUACGUAGGUGGCAAGCGUUGUCCGGAUUUAUUGGGCGUAAAGCGAGCGCAGGCGGUCAAUUAAGUCUGAUGUGAAAGCCCCCGGCUCAACCGGGGAGGGUCAUUGGAAACUGGUUGACUUGAUUGCAGAAGAGGAGAGUGGAAUUCCAUGUGUAGCGGUGAAAUGCGUAGAUAGAUGGAGGAACUCCAGUGAAGAAGGCGACUCUCAGGUCUGUAACUGACGCUGAGGCUCGAAAGCGUGGGUAGCAAACAGG
rnacentral:rRNA from 1 species